CCCUUCCCUUGGGUGGGAGUUUUGGUCGUUAAAACAAAUGAGCGGCCAGGAACGCAGGGAACUGAAAUCUAAAUACAAGCAGGCGGAGCAACAGCUAAGACCGGUGAACGGCUGUCAGACGCGGGCGCCGCUGGAGGAGAAACGCUAGGAGAGGUUGAGAGGAAGAGCCGGCAGAAAGGGCACCCGGCAGGUUUAGAGAUGAUAGGCAAGGAGCUGAGCGCUGGGUGGUUUCUGAAUCCGGCUUUUGUUCUUCUGUGCUUGCCUAGCCAGGGUUAACUUUGUGUGUCAGAAAAUCUCCGUGCUUGGUCUGUUCAAAAUGCGGAGAUCAGUUUAGGGAUCUUCACGUUUUCAAAAUAACCGCUCUCCUCUUGUCCAGAUGUGGGCUUCUGCGUCAACCAGCUGGAUUCUCAGCCUUCAUAGUUCUCAUUUUCAAAUCAUUCACCGCAGCCCCGGGGGCUAGGAGCUUACAUGUUUAAUAAAAACGGAGAUUGUCGCAUUGUUCCCCAAUUUAAGGAACUGAGGCUGUAAGAAAAGCAUAAAAUAUGGUGCGAUUUGCCAUAGAAUCACAAGAUUUGGAAACCCUGAAGGGUUAGCUAGAGAGCUCAGUGAAGAAAAAGAGCAUAGGAAGGGAUUGUAGGAAUGCAGGGCUGGAAGAGACGUUGAGACAUCGUGCAGUCUGUUCUGCUGCCCCGAGCCAGGAUCAGGGAUAUCCAGAGCAUCCCUGACAGAUACUUGUCUAACCUCCAAGACGAGAUGCACAGGAAUGCGCAAGAAGAAUCAGGAGGCUCCACAGAGAUCUAGUGAAUCACAGAGGAGGGAAUGCCUGAAUUGCUGUCCCCUUAUGCAGUGUUAGUGCUGCCUUCAACCCCAGUUCUGCACUUGGGAUCAGGGUCUUCCUUUCUUUCUACAGCAGCUCUGCCCAGCUGCAAAAUGAACUUGGGGGUCUUGCGAUGUUAUCUGUAGAUGUGACAUCACAGCCUUUUCCAUGGCAACGCAUCGCAGUUCCUGAGAGGGAGCUGAUGAGCUGAGCGCAAGGAGAUUUUUCAAUGGGAA
rnacentral:lncRNA from 1 species